GCUAAAAAUCUAGCCUAUAAUUUUUUAUGACACCUCAUUUUCUUAACUAAAAUAAAUCAUUUUAAUAUUUAAGUAAAGGCGAUUGAAAAAAUUCUUAGAGCCUCAACUUUAGUACCGCAAGGGAAAGAUGAAAUAUUAAUGAAAUACUUCAAGCACAAAAUAGUAGAGAUUAAAACUCGUACCUUUUGCAUCAUGGUCUAGCAAGUCCUUAUCAAGCACAAAGACAUUUUAGUUUGACUUCCCGAAACUAGGCGAGCUACUUCAAAACAACCUUUAGGGCCAACCCGUCUCUGUUGCAAAAGAGUGGGAAGAUUUUCAAGUAGAAGUGAUAAGCCAAUCGAGCCUAGCGAUAGCUGGUUAUUCAAGAAAAGAAUUUUAGUUCUACUUUAAGCUUCCUUCUGACCCAUAACAAACUAUUAAGCUUAAAAGUUAUUCAAAUAAGGCACAGCUUAUUUGAAAAAGGCUACAACCUAGACAUUAGGGUAAGUUCAUUUUCCUCAACAAAGUUGGCCUAAAAGCAGCCAUCUUUAAGAAAGCGUUAAAGCUCCGUUACUUACAUUAUAUAAUUCUUAACAACACAUCUAACCCAUCACCAGUAUUGAAUGAUUUCAUAAAUUAUGAAAGCCACCAUGCUAGAACUAGUAACAAGAAAAUGAAUUUCUCCAAAGUGUAAGCAAAAACCAAGAUGGACUACCCAUUGGUAAUCAACGACUCUGAAUAAACUAUAGCAACUUUUCAAGAAAACCCUAUAUUCUCCCCCGUUAACCUAACACAAGAACACUUCUGGAAAGAUUAAAAGGAGAAGAAGGAACUCGGCAAACCUUAGCCCCGCCUGUUUACCAAAAACAUCGCCUCUUGUUUAAGUAUAAGAGGUCCAGCCUGCCCAGUGAUAAUUUAUUCAACGGCCGCGUGAUUUAAAGCGCGCAAAGGUAGCGUAAUCACUUGUUCUUUAAAUGAGGACUCGAAUCAACGGCACCACGAGGGCUAUACUGUCUCCUUCUCCUAAUCAGUGAAACUAAUCUCCCUGUGAAAAAGCAGGAAUAUCCCUAUAAGACGAGAAGACCCCAUGGAGCUUUAAACAUAACAGCACCUUUAAAACUUAAUCAUCUACCUUAUUAACCUGAAAGCAUUGUAUGUUAGUUUUAGGUUGGGGCGACCGCGGAGUAUAAUAGAACCUCCAUAACGAAAGGGCGUAAAUCCUUACUUGAGAAAAACAUUUCUACAAAUUAUUAACAUAACGUUUAAUGACCCGAUCAUCGAUUAACGAACCAAGUUACCCUGGGGAUAACAGCGCAAUCCAUUUUGAGAGCUCAUAUUGACAAAUGGGUUUACGACCUCGAUGU
rnacentral:rRNA from 1 species